GUUGAGGUGGCAGAGCCUGGUAAUUGCAAAAGACCUAAGUCCUUUAAACCAGAGGUUCAAAUCCUCUCCUCAACU
rnacentral:tRNA from 1 species